rnacentral:rRNA from 1 species
AAGUCGUAACAAGGUUUCCGUAGGUGAACCUGCGGAAGGAUCAUUACCGAGUUGAUUCGGGCUCCGGCCCGAUCCUCCCACCCUUUGUGUACCUACCUCUGUUGCUUUGGCGGGCCGCGGUCCUCCGCGGCCGCCCCCCUCCCCGGGGGGUGGCCAGCGCCCGCCAGAGGACCAUCAAACUCCAGUCAGUAAACGAUGCAGUCUGAAAAACAUUUAAUAAACUAAAACUUUCAACAACGGAUCUCUUGGUUCUGGCAUCGAUGAAGAACGCAGCGAAAUGCGAUAAGUAAUGUGAAUUGCAGAAUUCAGUGAAUCAUCGAAUCUUUGAACGCACAUUGCGCCCUUUGGUAUUCCGAAGGGCAUGCCUGUUCGAGCGUCAUUACAACCCUCAAGCUCUGCUUGGUAUUGGGCACCGUCCUUUGCGGGCGCGCCUCAAAGACCUCGGCGGUGGCGUCUUGCCUCAAGCGUAGUAGAACAUACAUCUCGCUUCGGAGCGCAGGGCGUCGCCCGCCGGACGAACCUUCUGAACUUUUCUCAAGGUUGACCUCGGAUCAGGUAGGGAUACCCGCUGAACUUAA